UGUCCAGGGAUGGGAAUCGAACCCACAGUGUUCCGCUUACCGGGCAGAUACCAUGUCCAGUAGGCUACACUGGAC